rnacentral:pre_miRNA from 1 species
GCCGGGAAGAGGAAGAAGAGAUUCUCUAAGAGCAGUGGGAAUAGGAACAUGGAGGAAAACCUAGAGCUCAAUUUUCUCCUCCAGUAUUGGAGGUAGAGUUUUGCUUCUGUUUUCCCGAUGCCUCCUAUUCCUAUCGAUCUUAGGUACUCCUUCCUCUUCCUUUGUCUU